rnacentral:tRNA from 1 species
AGGGUAUAUCUUAGUGGUAUAGUUUGUGCUUAGCAUGCAUGAGGUCCUGGGUUCAAUCCUCAGUACUUCUG